rnacentral:rRNA from 1 species
AGUGAACGCUGGCGGUAGGCCUAACACAUGCAAGUCGAACGGCAGCACAGUAAGUGCUUGCUCUUACGGGUGGCGAGUGGCGGACGUGUGAGGAAUACAUCGUACUCUACUUUUUCGUGGGGGCUAACGUAGGUAAACUUACGCUAAUACCGCAUACGACCUACGGGUGAAAUCAGGGGAUCUUCGGACCUUGCGCGAAUGAAUGAGCCGAUGUCGGAUUAGCUAGUUGGCGGGGCAAAGGCCCACGCAGGCGACGAUCCGUAGCUGGUCUGAGAGGAUGAGCAGCCGGACUGGAAGGGAGAAACGGUACAGAGGCCUACGGGAGGCAGCAGUGGGGAAUAUUGGAGAAGGGGCGCAAGCCUGAGCAAGACAGACGGCGUGGGUGAAGAAGGCCUUCGGGUUGUAAAGGCCGUUUGUUGGGAAAGAAAAGCAGCAGGUUAAGACCGAGCUGUUAUGACGGUAACCAAAGAAUAAGCACCGGCUAACUUCGUG